AGUCACUCAGUGGUGCUUUGCUGUCAAUACAAUCUGCCUCAUCGGAUUUACCACGGUCUUCUAGAUCAACCUCAGAGGUACUGGCUGCAGUCAUUAAGGCAGGUGUUUCUAGAGAGCAUGAAAUCCUGGCUGAAAUAUGAGAUGUUUUUUCUUUCAUUCGCAAAAUGGAGCCCAGAAGAGUGAUGGAUCCGAUGCUUGUCUCUCGUGUUAGGAUUUUCUAUAUAAUGUCCCUGCUUGCUCGAUCACCAGAGCUACAAUCAAUUAAGUUUUCUCCGGUUGAGCGCUUUCUUGAGAAGCCAAAUAAUGGACCUAGUAGAAGCUCUAGCCGUGGUAGCAGCCUUGGAAGAUCUCCAGUUCGUUACGAUUCUAGUUCAAGGAAUAUGCUGGUUGGGGACCAAAUUUAAGGUUCAAAGUAAAUAUAAAACCAGAAAAGAAGUCAAAGUUGUCAUCAGUAGUUCUGAAGAUACGUGGAAUUGAUCAGGAGACCUGGUGACAGCAUAUAGCAGGUGGAAAGCUCAAGGAAAUAACCGAAGAAGCAAAAAUUUAUUCAAUUGGAAAAAAGGCUCUUGCGGCUCUUUUUGUUCAUACCCCUGCUGGCGCGCUCCAGCUCAAAUUCGAAAUUGGCUUGUAGAGAACUUCGAUUUCCUUUCCAUUGCAGAUGACAUGGCUGCAGGAGCAACUGGUCAGCUGGAAAUUCUCUCUACAGCAAUAAUGGAUGGUUGGAUGGCUGGACUUGGUGCUGCCCAGCCUCCGACUACCGAUGCUCUUGGACAGCUGUCUGAAUAUGCCAGAUAUCUUUAUACUUCACAGCUGCAACAUUUGUAGGAUAUUGCUGGUACUUUGGAGACUGAAGCAGCGGAAGACUCUGCUCAAGUAGCUAAGCUAAGUUCAACUCUUGAAUAUUGUUGAUCACAAGAGAAGAAAGAUUUUACAACAAAUGAAAAACGACGCGGAGAUGUUAAAUUUAGAAAGUGGUGCUGCACCUAUUCGGAAUCCUUCCACUGUUGUUGAAGAUGCAAGGCUAGCGUCGUUAAUCUCCCUCGACAGCAUACUGAAGCAAGUCAAGGGUUUUCAUCUUUCUCCAAUUUCUCCUCUUUUAACUUUCUGACAGAUGUCAGAUGCUUCAAAUUUUUGGUCAUUCAUCAUGAAGUGUGUUUAUAGUGUUUGAACUUUCUGUAUGUAAUUUGUGUAGUGUGUAGUGUUUAUUUUAUGUAUGUGUAAGUGUGCGUAUUUGUGUGGUGUAUAGAGGUGUGCAAUGUGUAUUGUGUGCUAUGAUGUAUAGUACAUAGUACGUACGCAGUGUUAUUCAUUAUUUUUAUA